rnacentral:rRNA from 1 species
AAUCAACGCUGGCGGCGUGCCUCAGACAUGCAAGUCGAACGAGAACCUCCCUUCGGGGAGGGGACAGUGGCGCACGGGUGAGUAACACGUGGGUAAUUUACCUUUGGGUGGGGAACAACAGCCGGAAACGGCUGCUAAUACCGCAUAAUGCAGCGGCUCGACAUCGAGACAGUUGUUAAAGCGGGGGAUCGCAAGACCUCGCGCCUGAAGAGAAGCCUGCGGCGGAUUAGCAGUUGGUAGGGUAAUGGCCUACCAAGGCGACGAUCUGUAACCGGCCUGAGAGGGCGGUCGGUCACACUGACACUGACAUACGGGUCAGACUCCUACGGGAGGCAGCAGUCGGGAAUUUUGGGCAAUGGGCGAAAGCCUGACCCAGCAACGCCGCGUGAAGGAUGAAGCUUUUCGGAGUGUAAACUUCAUAAGAAUGGGAAG